ensembl:snRNA U5 U5 spliceosomal RNA
CACUCAUGUGUCUCUCUUCAUAUUGAAUAAAUCUUUCGCCUUUACUUAAGAUUUCUUUGGAGAGGACAAUAGCACUUUAAGAACAAAAAAAAGAAAUUCUGAAGAAUGUUGGAAAAAGCAGCAUU